CCUACGGGAGGCAGCAGUGGGGAAUAUUGGACAAUGGACCAAAAGUCUGAUCCAGCAAUUCUGUGUGCACGAUGAAGGUUUUCGGAUCGUAAAGUGCUUUCAGGCGGGAAGAAAAAAAUGACGGUACCACCAGAAGAAGCGACGGCUAAAUACGUGCCAGCAGCCGCGGUAAUACGUAUGUCGCAAGCGUUAUCCGGAAUUAUUGGGCGUAAAGCGCGUCUAGGCGGCCUUUUAAGUCUGAUGUGAAAAUGCGGGGCUCAACUCCGUAUUGCGUUGGAAACUGGAAGGCUAGAGUAUCAGAAAGGUGGGCGGAACUACAAGUGUAGAGGUGAAAUUCGUAGAUAUUUGUAGGAAUGCCGAUUGGGAAGCCAGCUCACUGGAUGAAUACUGACGCUGAAGCGCGAAAGCGUGGGGAGCAAACGGGAUUAGAUACCCCGGUAGUCCACGCCGUAAACGAUGAUCACUAAGUGUGGGGGGUCGAACCUCCGUGCUCAAGUUAACGCGAUAAGUGAUCCGCCUGGGGAGUACGGCCGCAAGGCUGAAACUCAAAUGAAUUGACGGA
rnacentral:rRNA from 1 species